rnacentral:rRNA from 1 species
AUGCGUUGUUGGGUAGGGGAGCGUUCUGUAAGCCUGUGAAGGUGUGCUGUGAGGCAUGCUGGAGGUAUCAGAAGUGCGAAUGCUGACAUAAGUAACGAUAAAGCGGGUGAAAAGCCCGCUCGCCGGAAGACCAAGGGUUCCUGUCCAACGUUAAUCGGGGCAGGGUGAGUCGACCCCUAAGGCGAGGCCGAAAGGCGUAGUCGAUGGGAAACAGGUUAAUAUUCCUGUACUUGGUGUUACUGCGAAGGGGGGACGGAGAAGGCUAUGUUGGCCGGGCGACGGUUGUCCCGGUUUAAGCGUGUAGGCUGGUUUUCCAGGCAAAUCCGGAAAAUCAAGGCUGAGGCGUGAUGACGAGGCACUACGGUGCUGAAGCAACAAAUGCCCUGCUUCCAGGAAAAGCCUCUAAGCAUCAGGUAACAUCAAAUCGUACCCCAAACCGACACAGGUGGUCAGGUAGAGAAUACCAAGGCGCUUGAGAGAACUCGGGUGAAGGAACUAGGCAAAAUGGUGCCGUAACU